GAGGCGAUGAAGGACGUGCUAAUCUGCGAAAAGCGCCGGCGAGGUGAUAUGAACCUUUGACCCGGCGAUGUCCGAAUGGGGAAACCCAGUGCAAUCCGUUGCACUAUCGUUAACUGAAUACAUAGGUUAACGAGGCGAACCGGGGGAACUGAAACAUCUAAGUACCCCGAGGAAAAGAAAUCAACCGAGAUUCCCCCAGUAGCGGCGAGCGAACGGGGAGCAGCCCGGAGUCUGAAUCAGCUUGUGUGUUAGUGGAACGGUCUGGAAAGUCCGACGGUACAGGGUGAUAGUCCCGUACACGAAAGCACACUUGCUGUGAACUCGAAGAGUAGGGCGGGACACGUGGUAUCCUGUCUGAAUAUGGGGGGACCAUCCUCCAAGGCUAAAUACUCCUGACUGACCGAUAGUGAACCAGUACCGUGAGGGAAAGGCGAAAAGAACCCCGGCGAGGGGAGUGAAAAAGAACCUGAAACCGUGUACGUACAAGCAGUGGGAGCCUCUUUAUGGGGUGACUGCGUACCUUUUGUAUAAUGGGUCAGCGACUUAUAUUCUGUAGCAAGGUUAACCGUAUAGGGGAGCCGAAGGGAAACCGAGUCUUAACUGGGCGUUAAGUUGCAGGGUAUAGACCCGAAACCCGGUGAUCUAGCCAUGGGCAGGUUGAAGGUUGGGUAACACUAACUGGAGGACCGAACCGACUAAUGUUGAAAAAUUAGCGGAUGACCUGUGGCUGGGGGUGAAAGGCCAAUCAAACCGGGAGAUAGCUGGUUCUCCCCGAAAGCUAUUUAGGUAGCGCCUCGUGAACUCAUCUUCGGGGGUAGAGCACUGUUUCGGCUAGGGGGCCAUCCCGGCUUACCAACCCGAUGCAAACUACGAAUACCGAAGAAUGUUAUCACGGGAGACACACGGCGGGUGCUAACGUCCGUCGUGAAGAGGGAAACAACCCAGACCGCCAGCUAAGGUCCCAAAGUCAUGGUUAAGUGGGAAACGAUGUGGGAAGGCACAGACAGCCAGGAUGUUGGCUUAGAAGCAGCCAUCAUUUAAAGAAAGCGUAAUAGCUCACUGGUCGAGUCGGCCUGCGCGGAAGAUGUAACGGGGCUAAACCAUGCACCGAAGCUGCGGCAGCGACGCUUAGGCGUUGUUGGGUAGGGGAGCGUUCUGUAAGCCGUUGAAGGUGUGCUGUGAGGCAUGCUGGAGGUAUCAGAAGUGCGAAUGCUGACAUAAGUAACGAUAAAGCGGGUGAAAAGCCCGCUCGCCGGAAGACCAAGGGUUCCUGUCCAACGUUAAUCGGGGCAGGGUGAGUCGACCCCUAAGGCGAGGCCGAAAGGCGUAGUCGAUGGGAAACAGGUUAAUAUUCCUGUACUUGGUGUUACUGCGAAGGGGGGACGGAGAAGGCUAUGUCAGCCGGGCGACGGUUGUCCCGGUUUAAGCAUGUAGGCGGAGGUUCCAGGUAAAUCCGGUACCUUAUUAACGCUGAGGUGUGAUGACGAGGCACUACGGUGCUGAAGUGAUAAAUGCCCUGCUUCCAGGAAAAGCCUCUAAGCAUCAGGUAACACGAAAUCGUACCCCAAACCGACACAGGUGGUCAGGUAGAGAAUACCAAGGCGCUUGAGAGAACUCGGGUGAAGGAACUAGGCAAAAUGGUGCCGUAACUUCGGGAGAAGGCACGCUGAUAUGUAGGUGAAGUCCCUGCGGACGGAGCUGAAAUCAGUCGAAGAUACCAGCUGGCUGCAACUGUUUAUUAAAAACACAGCACUGUGCAAACACGAAAGUGGACGUAUACGGUGUGACGCCUGCCCGGUGCCGGAAGGUUAAUUGAUGGGGUUAGCGGCAACGCGAAGCUCUUGAUCGAAGCCCCGGUAAACGGCGGCCGUAACUAUAACGGUCCUAAGGUAGCGAAAUUCCUUGUCGGGUAAGUUCCGACCUGCACGAAUGGCGUAAUGAUGGCCAGGCUGUCUCCACCCGAGACUCAGUGAAAUUGAACUCGCUGUGAAGAUGCAGUGUACCCGCGGCAAGACGGAAAGACCCCGUGAACCUUUACUAUAGCUUGACACUGAACACUGGUCCUUGAUGUGUAGGAUAGGUGGGAGGCUUUGAAGCGUGGACGCCAGUCUGCGUGGAGCCAACCUUGAAAUACCACCCUUUAAUGGCUGGUGUUCUAACGUAGACCCGUAAUCCGGGUUGCGGACAGUGUCUGGUGGGUAGUUUGACUGGGGCGGUCUCCUCCCAAAGAGUAACGGAGGAGCACGAAGGUUGGCUAAUCCUGGUCGGACAUCAGGAGGUUAGUGCAAUGGCAUAAGCCAGCUUGACUGCGAGCGUGACGGCGCGAGCAGGUGCGAAAGCAGGUCAUAGUGAUCCGGUGGUUCUGAAUGGAAGGGCCAUCGCUCAACGGAUAAAAGGUACUCCGGGGAUAACAGGCUGAUACCGCCCAAGAGUUCAUAUCGACGGCGGUGUUUGGCACCUCGAUGUCGGCUCAUCACAUCCUGGGGCUGAAGUAGGUCCCAAGGGUAUGGCUGUUCGCCAUUUAAAGUGGUACGCGAGCUGGGUUUAGAACGUCGUGAGACAGUUCGGUCCCUAUCUGCCGUGGGCGCUGGAGAAUUGAGGGGGGCUGCUCCUAGUACGAGAGGACCGGAGUGGACGCAUCACUGGUGUUCGGGUUGUCAUGCCAAUGGCACUGCCCGGUAGCUAAAUGCGGAAGAGAUAAGUGCUGAAAGCAUCUAAGCACGAAACUUGCCCCGAGAUGAGUUCU
rnacentral:rRNA from 1 species